rnacentral:lncRNA from 1 species
GGAACACUGGAAGAAGGGCCUCUGUCUCUCCCUGCCACGGAUCCGUGCACGUCGUCGACUCGGAGCUGACCUGUGUCACCUGGAGGAUGCUGCCGAAAGUAACGAUGCGUCACCUCCGAGGUCCCGUCGUGGAAGACCUCAAAGAACAGGGACCCUGGGAGUUUGGGGAAAGGAAACUCUCCAAAGGCAUCUGAAAGAAGGAGAAAACACAGGAAGUACUGGCGAAAAGAUGUGAGACCCUCCUGUAAACGUUCCUGAGUCACAUGCAGGCGGCAUCCCCUUUUUUCCUUCCCUGGAGCAGAAGCGGCAGACAGACUCUCAGGAAGACAUCCUGUAUGUGGCCCAUUCUCCGCAGUCGGGACAUCUUGAGCCGUGCGUUGCUCUCUGCUGUACCUUCCAGCCCUGGGGCCUCUGACAUUUACUUUCCUAGUGUGUCCAACGCUCCGAUUUCUUUGAGGAGGGCCCAGCUGUGCUCCAAAGUGCGCCGCAGAAGAAACUACACUGAAUUCUCUAUGAAGGAGGCAUUUUUCUUCCCCCCGUUCUACAAGAUGGAGAAACCGUGGAUCAGAGGAGUUAAGCAAAUCACCGAGGCCACACAGCUGGUGGGACCCCAGCAUUGGUAUGUUUUAAAGGUGCCCCCAAUGAUGAUGAUGCCAAUGAUGCUGGUAGGAGCAAUCAAGCUACCAUGACAGAUUCUUUUCCCAUAGGAGUCAUCACAGAGUAUGGAGUAGAUUUCCCUGCGCAUAAUUUGAAAAGGCCCUCUGUGGACACAUCGUGGAGAGUUGUAACAAGGUUUUAUGAAGGGAUAGAGAAAGAAGGCCUGCUUGUCUUCGUCAGCUCUUCAAAUGCCUCCUGUGAUGCCACCGCUACAUGGAAGACACCCCAGAAAGGAGGGUGAGCCAGAGGGCCCUGCCACGCGUGGCUGGAAGUCCUACGAGGGAGCCAGGGUCAGAAGCUGGCAUGAUGCCCCCGCAGGCGGAAAUUGCGUCUCACCCACCGACACGUCCUAGAGCCUAGCAUGGCGCACGCAGAAGGUGCUCUGUAAGUGAGCGGCAGCGGGAACUCAAAACUGCAGGAGGUAAAGGGGAAGCGUGUGGCCAGGCUGCCACUUGGAGGGCAACCUGAGCACUUGCAAUCGGGGAUGGUUUCAGGGCAUCAGUGAGGCUGGGUCGGAACCCAGCAUCACACACACACACACAGACAGCUCCUGGUCCAUAGGAAGGGAUCUUCCUACAUUCUCUGGGGACGUCAUGCAUCCUUGGGCUGGCGGGGUUUGAGGGAGUGAGGGGAAGCACGGAGCUCUAAGGCAGAAGGCUCACUGGGAUCUGACUUUGGGUGUGCCCUCGGUAGCCAGCAUCAGGGCAUCGAUGGAUCAAUGAGUCCUCGAUCACUCCAUUUCUUACCUGCACCCCACCCCUGCAAUUCCCCUUGCCUGGGCAUCAAUUGGUCCAGCUCUUUGGCAAGCAUUCACUGGACUCUGAUGUGUCAGGAAUGGGGUCUUAGUGAUGCAACAUAGCUAAGAGGGAGAACGGUGCCGGGUCUACAGCUAAGUAGGCCGUGUAAGAGCUCUGAGUUAAAGAAUCCGAGGACGCCAUGGGACCCCCAGAACAGGCAGCUGUGUCAGCACCCACUCGCGCAUCCUCCCUGUCACCGCUUUUAUCUCUGUAUCCUGGAAGCAGGCUGCUGCAGCGAUGGUGGUGACCUCUGUUCUCCCAUCGCUGUGACAGGAGAGUCAGGCCCUGAUGGAGCAGUAGGCAUCCUCUUCCGAGGAAAGGUGAGCAAAAAAGCCAUGGAGCAGAAAAGCCCUUGGUCAGAACGACCAGCCUCCGCUGAAGACCCAGAAAGAGGAGCAGCAUCCCACUUUGCGGGGUAACCUGCUCACGAUGCAGCUGCUGGGGCCCAGCCAGGUCCUGGCACGGCUGUCCGGCCAAGUCUGUGAUUAAUGAUGUCACUGCCAGCAAGACAAGCCCUCGACUGAAUAAGCCUCGGCUUUUAACAAAAGCUUUGACUGAGCAGUAAACGGACCAGCCUCUGCUGAAGACCCAGAAAGAGGAGCAGCAUCCCAGAGGGGUGACCAACUGUGGGGUGUCCCAAAUAGCGCUAACAUGGAGAGCCUCCAGAAGGAGCACCCACCCGUGAUGGGCAGAAGCAGAAUCUGAUGCGGGAGAGAAAUGGCACCAUCAUUUGGGGAUGUUUGAGGUCAUUUCCUUCACUGAAUAUGGAAACGGACAUCUCUGGAGAGGUCCAAGGUCUUCAAACGCAGAAACAAAGGCUCAGAGGUUAAGGACUCCCUCCUAGACACACGUAGGAUGGCGACAGAAGGGACCAGGUGCAGGGCCAUCCCUACGGUGCCACACAGUUUUCAUAAAACGUGGCAGAGUCUUAUAACCGGGCAACCACAACAGUUUCCUAGGUCUGGGAACUGACCAGAGGCACGAGCAGCUACCAGCUUCUCUCAUCAUCACCAGUUGCUGAAUUGCAUCAAGAAAGAUGUGGGGGUUUUUCCAAGUGGGGGUCCUGGAUGCAAAAAUCCCUCCUCGGUCCUUUCAUGUUGGAGGAAUACAGCUCCCACCUUUGGUCUUGAACCACUUACUCGGGUAGAAUAUUCUUGGCUCAGACAUCUUCCUUUAGACUUUACACCUUUCUCAAUUUUCUUACGACAUUGAGGGUUAUUUGAGGAGAAAUCUGAGGUCAACACAACAAUUUUCUGAUUUAUAAAUGGCAUACUAUUUUUUCCUAGAUAGCUUUCUUUUCUUUUCUUUUCUUUUCUUUUCCAGAUACAUUUUUUUUUUCCCUAGACAGCUUUCUUUUCUUUUCUUUUCUUUUUUUAGGGCCCCACCUCAGUCUAUAGAAGUUCCCAGGCCAGGGGUCGAAUCAGAGCUGCAGCUGCCGAUCUACCCCACAGCCACAGCAGCACAGAAUCCAAGCCCCAUCUGGGACCUACACCACAGCUCACGGCAACACCGGAUCCUUAACCCACUGAGUGAGACCAGGGAUAGAACCUGUGUCCUCGUGGAUACUAGUCAGGCUCAUUACCGCUGAGCCACAAUGGGAACUCCCUCCUGUAUAGUCUUCCUUCUUGAGCAUCAAGUUCCAUCAGCACAACCUGACAUAUGUCCACUGUUGGUUGCGUAUGUCGAAUUUUUCCCCAAAGUGAUUCUUUCAGCUGAAGAUUCAAUUCUUUAUUCUCAUGAAGCAUCCAUUUGUUUUGUGCUUACAUAUAUUUUCCAUUCCAAUACUUCAGGAAAGGUGAUUACCCCUUUUGACUCACAUAAGCGGGGUAGGUACUUCCCAGUUUCCAAGUACUUCCCCGGCUAUCCAGAAACUCCCUCAAAAAUAGAGUUACCAUGUGACCUGGCAAUCCCAUUCCUGGGUCUCUAGCCAGACAAAACUCUAACUCAAAAAGAUGCAGGCACCUGUGUGUUAUUGCAGCACUACUCACAACAGCCAAGACAUGGAAACAACCUAAAUGUCCAUUGGUAGAUGCACAGAUUAAGAAGAUGUGGUACAUGCAUGCGAUGGGCUAUUACUCAGCCAUAAAAAAGAAUGAAAUAAUGCCAUUUGCAGCAACAUGGAUGGACCCAGCUCGGUGGUCCCAUGAAGAUACUUGUCAAGUAGGGUUCUUGGCAUCAGUCUUUGGUUCAGGGUGGACUGCAAGCCAGUGGGUAAAUCUACCAUCUGCCCUCCUCCCUGUCCAAGGUCCCCCACCUCCAGGACAACCUUUCAUUCUGAAUCUGGUGAUGGAUACCAGAAAAAGUCAAAGAACAGAAGGGCCAGGGCCAACAGGACAGAAGAAGCCAUUUUUCAGUUACGGCUGCUAAGGAUGAGAUAGUUUCACAACAAGCCAAAAAAAAAAAAAAAAAAAAAA